rnacentral:lncRNA from 1 species
GGAGAGUCGGGGUAAUAAGUGCACUACUCCCAACAACGGCCAGCCUUGGAGGGAGACCAAUAGCAAUUGUGUGUCUUUUUUUGCCUAAUGCCUGCUGUUUUUCGAAAAUCUUACUUUCUGCGAUCUGACAACAAGCCAACGAGGCAGCGAGGACAGCUUGAAACAUGCUCUAUGUAAUGAUUACAGGGCCACUUCCACAAAGGGGCUGAUUGUGCACUGUCACUGACAUAUUUCACAAGGGGCAUUUAUUGCCGCCUGGCCUUUGAAGAGUGAGAGCUGCUGAGUGAGGGGGGAAACUGGCCCACACCUGCAUAACUGAGGAGGGAACACCUGUGCACCCUGCGGCUCCAACAAGGAGGGUCGAUCCAGCUACUCCAGAGGUGAAAGCUGAUCAGAGGACAGGCCCGAAGAGUUCAGCAGCUCCCACUGCCUUGUUAGCCUUACUUUACCAAAAAAAGAAAAAAAAUUACACCUAUUGAUUUUUUGGGAGGGGGGGGGGUGCACAGUGAUUGUGAAAAGAAUAGUAGCAGGACACAAUGUGAAACAGAGGAAGUCAGCAGAGCUUUUAGCGCUCACUUCAAUUAGACAGAAUUUUAUUUUUAAUCAUCGUGAGCACUGAUAUGCCACAAGCUACCCUAUCUGUGACUGGACAACGAAAAAAGGUGGAAUAGAAAAAUGGAGCGAGCAAGUACGCUGCUUUUAAACACGUCUUCAAACAGAAGCGGGAGGAAAAGCACCUGGGAGGUGAUGAUGAGCGGAAGAGAAAACAGUCGGCGCAGAGGUCACAGGUCACCACGGGCUCCCCUGCAGCAGGUAGGGUGACACGGUGUUGCUAUGGUACGCUUUAACAGGGCCGACACCUGAUGAGUGCAUGAACCGUGGUCCUUCAGUUGCAGACCUGCUCACUACUGCAUAUUAUUGCUAAACUCUGCACAAGUGUUUAUUUUGUGCACAGUCCUACUGAACAUGCAAAUGUUUGGCAGUUUAGUUUACCGCUAGGCCGCCGUGCAGAGUGGAGGAUUUUAUAUCACACUAUUACACUCACAUCAUAAGUAGCUGAUGGUAAAGGUAAAACAUUAGCUUGGAUUGUGGAUUAUAUUGCUGCUAAAGCUGCUAAAUAUAGACAGCUCAAAUAUGGAUUUAGUCAUUAUGUAAUUUAUAUCUUUGAUAUGCUUUGGAAAAAACUUUAAUUUUAUUUUUAUGUAGCUAACAAAUACAAUGUGAGGGAUUACUGGCUUGGUCUAGUUAUGUGUGUCCUAUUAAUAGGCCUGGCUAUGACUAACAAAGUUCAGCUGUAACCGAACUCCAUCUGUCAAGUCACG